GCAGUUAUUUACAAGAGAAGCAAGAAAAUUAUGCUUCAGAACCCUGUCUAUAUCGAUUUUUAAAUAAGUACGAUUCACUUCUAAAUCCAGCUAAUUAAAUUCUAUGAUGUAAUUAUGUUAUACUCCCUCUGUCCCAUUUGACGUGACGUGCUUUUCUCUUUUGUCUAUCCCAACAAGAACGAUACUUUUCUCGUUUUGGAAACUAUUUAAUCUUUGUAUCCCAUUUUACCCUUAAUGACAUGACUUGUUGGGAUCUAGUUGAAUAAACGUUCAUCCUUGUAUAAGGAGAGAAAAAAUGCAUGACAUGUGGAACUCUCACCAAAACCCGUCUAAAAGGAUACUUUCAGUACUUCACAUAUCUUUGGCUUACAUGUUAAAAGCCUUUUUUAGUUUCUUAAGUUCCUGACCCAAUCAAGCGCCUCCACAUAAAAUGGUACAGAGGGGUUUAAUCCAGGACAAAUGUCAAGUAAGUGAAGCCACUUACUUAUAUUGCAGGUCUAACUUCAAAGACAGAUGCAUGAAAUUACAAAAUUCAUGAAAGAUGGUUUCCAGUGGAAAACCCAGGUUAAUUAACACUUUCAUGUCUGAACUUAUCUAAAGCAUUAAACUACAGCAUACGACUAUAUAGGCAAUGCAAGUCCAAUAAACACCUGAGCCACCACUCUAUGACCUCUAUAAUCAAUUAUCGCCAUAGCAAGGUUGUAUAAUCCAGGGACAUCAGCUUCCUGAUAUGAUUUUGUGCCUUUCAAGUCAUUAUUUGCACUUGCAGUGGAUGAAAGGAUCUGAGCCACCACUCUAUGACCUCUAUAAUCAACUAUCGCCAUAGCAAGGUUGUAUAAUCCAGGGACAUCAGCUUCCUGAUAUGAUUUUGUGCCUUUCAAGUCAUUAUUUGCACUUGCAUAAGUGGCUUGCUCACUUUCUGCCAACUGCGUUUCACCAGGCACUCCGGGAGGACAAUCCAAGUUGAUGUUUAC
rnacentral:lncRNA from 1 species